GAUGAACGCUGGCUGCGUGCCUAACACAUGCAAGUUGAGCGAGAAGUUUGAAAAAUGAGUUUUCGGACAAGUGAUUCAAACGGAAAGCGGCGGACGGGUGAGUAUUGCGUAGGCAACCUGCCCAGUGCAGAGGUACAGCCUCGGGAAACCGGGAUGAAGACCUCAUGCUAUCGGGCUAUCACAUGGUAAUCCGGUCAAUGAAUUAUCGGCAUGGGAUGGGCCUGCGUCUGAUUAGCUGGUUGGUGGGGUAACGGCCAACCAAUGAGACGAGCAGUAGCAGAAAUGAGAGGUUCAUCUGCCACAUUGGAACUGAGACUCGGUCCAAACUCCUACGGGAGGCAGCAGUGAGGAAGAUUGCACAAUGGGCGAAAGCCUGAUGCAGCAACGCCGCGUGAGCGAAGAAGGCCUUUGGGUCGUAAAGCGCUGUCCUUGGGUAAGAAACAAAUGACGGUACCCUUGGAGGAAGCCCCGGCUAACUCUGUGCCAGCCGCCGCGGUAA
rnacentral:rRNA from 1 species